CGCGUAGGCGGACAGUUUAGUCAGAGGUGAAAGCCCAGGGCUCAACCUUGGAAAUGCCUUUGAUACUGGCUGUCUUGAGUACGGGAGAGGUGUGUGGAACUCCGAGUGUAGAGGUGAAAUUCGUAGAUAUUCGGAAGAACACCAGUGGCGAAGGCGACACACUGGCCCGUUACUGACGCUGAGGCGCGAAAGCGUGGGGAGCAAACAGGAUUAGAUACCCUGGUAGUCCACGCCGUAAACGAUGAGUGCUAGUUGUCGGCAUGCAUGCAUGUCGGUGACGCAGCUAACGCAUUAAGCACUCCGCCUGGGGAGUACGGUCGCAAGAUUAAA
rnacentral:rRNA from 1 species